ACGCUCGACACCUACGGAGGCAGCAGUGGGGAAUAUUGGGCAAUGGGCGCAAGCCUGACCCAGCAACGCCGCGUGAAGGAAGAAGGCUUUCGGGUUGUAAACUUCUUUUGUCAGGGAACAGUAGAAGAGGGUACCUGACGAAUAAGCUCCGGCUAACUACGUGCCAGCAGCUGCGGUAAUCUGAGCGGGCUGGCAAGGC
rnacentral:rRNA from 1 species